rnacentral:tRNA from 1 species
UAGAAAAUAGUAUAAGGGAAGUACAGAGGGGUUUGAUCUCUCGGGUGCAGGUUCGACUCCUGUUUUUCUAA